rnacentral:misc_RNA from 1 species
GAUGAAGAACGUAGCGAAAUGCGAUAAGUAGUGUGAAUUGCAGAAUUCCGUGAAUCAUCGAAUCUUUGAACGCACAUUGCGCCUUCUGGUAUUCCGGAAGGCAUGCCUGUUCGUGAGUCAUUAACAACCGUUUCGAUCCCUUUCUUUCAGAAAUUACAAAGAGGAAAAGGGUUUGGUUAUGGUGGAGGAGGGAAAGGGAGCGUUUAGCCUGUAAAAAAAGAGGCUGUGUUCCGCCUCCCCCCCAAAAUUGUACAGGCGGUCGUGUGCGCCCACGCAUCGAGGUGUUGUAAAAGCUGCCACGGCACUUUUCACCUGUGCAGUGCGAGAUUGGCCAGCCGGUUUAAAAACCCCUCCAAACAAUCAAAGGUUGACCUCGGAUCAGGUAGGGAUACCCGCUGAACUUAAGCAUAUCAAUAAGCGGAGGA